AGCAUAUCAAUAAGCGGAGGAAAAGAAACCAACAGGGAUUGCCCCAGUAACGGCGAGUGAAGCGGCAACAGCUCAAAUUUGAAAUCUGGCCCCCGGGUCCGAGUUGUAAUUUGCAGAGGAUGCUUCGGGCGAGGUGCCUUCCGAGUUCCCUGGAACGGGACGCCACAGAGGGUGAGAGCCCCGUCUGGUCGGACACCGAGCCCGUGUGAAGCUCCUUCGAAGAGUCGAGUAGUUUGGGAAUGCUGCUCAAAAUGGGAGGUAUAUGUCUUCUAAAGCUAAAUAUUGGCCAGAGACCGAUAGCGCACAAGUAGAGUGAUCGAAAGAUGAAAAGCACUUUGAAAAGAGGGUUAAAAAGUACGUGAAAUUGUUGAAAGGGAAGCGCCCAUGACCAGACUUGGGCCCGGUGAAUCACCCGGCGUUCUCGCCGGUGCACUUUGCCGGGCACAGGCCAGCAUCAGUUUGGCGCGGGGGACAAAGGCUUCGGGAACGUGGCUCCCUCGGGAGUGUUAUAGCCCGCUGCGUAAUACCCUGCGCCGGACUGAGGUACGCGCAUCGCAAGGAUGCUGGCGUAAUGGUCAUCAGCGACCCGUCUUGAAACACGGACCAAGGAGUCGUCUUCGUAUGCGAGUGUUCGGGUGUCAAACCCCUACGCGGAAUGAAAGUGAACGCAGGUGAGAGCUUCGGCGCAUCAUCGACCGAUCCUGAUGUUCUCGGAUGGAUUUGAGUAAGAGCAUACGGGGCCGGACCCGAAAGAAGGUGAACUAUGCCUGUAUAGGGUGAAGCCAGAGGAAACUCUGGUGGAAGCUCGCAGCGGUUCUGACGUGCGAAUCGAUCGUCAAAUAUGGGCAUGGGGGCGAAAGACUAAUCGA
rnacentral:rRNA from 1 species